CAGUGCAAACUAUUCGAUUAUCUCGUAUAAUAAUUGAUUAUGUUGACGUUUGUUGAACUAGCAUGCUAUUAUUAGACUUGUUAUCUAGCCACUUUUUGUUAAUGUCAAAAGGGGGAAAAUAAACGGGAUAUGCAUGCAUAAUAUAUUUCCCAUGCACUUUGAUAUAACUGCACACAUUUAGGGGGAAUCAUCUUUUAAGGGGAUAUAUCUUAUGAAACAUGAACAUGUCUAUGAUGCAUAUUGAAUUAUCUUAACUGUUAUUAUUAUGCAUAUCCCGAUACAUGUUUGCCAUUAUCAAAAAGGGGGAAAUUGUU
rnacentral:lncRNA from 1 species